rnacentral:rRNA from 1 species
AGAGUUUGAUCCUGGCUCAGGAUGAACGCUAGCUACAGGCUUAACACAUGCAAGUCGAGGGGCAGCGGGGAGGAAGCUUGCUUUCUCUGCCGGCGACCGGCGCACGGGUGAGUAACGCGUAUCGAACCUGCCUCAUACUCGGGAAUAGCCUUGCGAAAGUAAGAUUAAUGCCCGAUGUUUUCAGUGGUCCGCAUGAACUGUUGAACAAAGAUUUAUCGGUAUGAGAUGGCGAUGCGUCCCAUUAGCUUGUUGGCGGGGUAACAGCCCACCAAGGCAUCGAUGGGUAGGGGUUCUGAGAGGAAGGUCCCCCACAUUGGAACUGAGACACGGUCCAAACUCCUACGGGAGGCAGCAGUGAGGAAUAUUGGUCAAUGGACGCAAGUCUGAACCAGCCAAGUAGCGUGCAGGACGACGGCCCUCCGGGUUGUAAACUGCUUUUAGUUGGGAAUAAAGUGCAGCUCGUGAGCUGUUUUGUAUGUACCAUCAGAAAAAGGACCGGCUAAUUCCGUGCCAGCAGCCGCGGUAAUACGGAAGGUCCAGGCGUUAUCCGGAUUUAUUGGGUUUAAAGGGAGCGCAGGCGGACUCUUAAGUCAGUUGUGAAAUACGGCGGCUCAACCGUCGGACUGCAGUUGAUACUGGGAGUCUUGAGUGCACACAGGGAUGCUGGAAUUCAUGGUGUAGCGGUGAAAUGCUCAGAUAUCAUGAAGAACUCCGAUCGCGAAGGCAGGUAUCCGGGGUGCAACUGACGCUGAGGCUCGAAAGUGCGGGUAUCAAACAGGAUUAGAUACCCUGGUAGUCCGCACAGUAAACGAUGAAU